CAGGAGAUCUCAAGCCACUGAAGGGAAGAGGCAUCUCUCUCACCCGCAGGAGAAAACCCCAGGGAGAAAACCUUUGAAGUCCCCAUCACACCUGAGACCAGCCCGGGCUGGCCGAGAUGUCCCUCCUCCGGAAACAAGUCUUUGGCCUGCUGGUUUGUCUGUGGAUUCUCUGUGCCAUUCUGCCGGAUAAGUUUUGCACAAGCCAAUUCAUAGAGCCGCCACCGAAGGUUAGCGGCCGGAAGCGUGACGUUGGUGCACUGAGCCAGGCUUUCGGGGACUUCCGCCGGAAGAGACACGUGCUCCAUGGGGCCAGGCACCAUUCAGCCGGGCACGAGGGCCACCAGGGUCUGGCACCCUAAAUGACAUCGCUCAGAAGGGAAGCCGCCGAGCGCCACGAGCAGAUCAAUAACGUGUCCCCACUGCAGCCAUCCCAGACGCCAACUGUGGUCAAAAUGCAGGGGUGGGUGGGGUUUUUUUAUCUUUUCUUUGCAAAUAACUUCUGAGGAGAUUUCCGGCCAAAGUCUUUGAAUCCUAAAAUUCUAUUCGAAAUUUUCCUGCUGGUUUUCUCCGACCUCGGAUCUUCUCUGUAACGCUUCUCUCCGAUUGUGAAAUCAACGUAUUGCAUUUGAAAUUUACUGUCGAAUAAAGAGAUCUGCUUGCACCCAUCA